rnacentral:rRNA from 1 species
UACGGAGGGUGCAAGCGUUGCUCGGAAUUAUUGGGCGUAAAGGGUAGGUAGGUGGUCUCAUUUGUCUGGGGUGAAAGCCUUGAGCUUAACUCAAGAAGUGCCCUAGAAACGGUGAGACUUGAGUCUUGGAGAGGGUCGUGGAAUUCCCGGUGUAGCGGUGAAAUGCGUAGAGAUCGGGAGGAACACCAGAGGCGAAGGCGGCGACCUGGACAAGGACUGACACUCAACUACGAAAGCGUGGGUAGCAAACAGG